rnacentral:rRNA from 1 species
AUUGAACGCUGGCGGCAGGCCUAACACAUGCAAGUCGAGCGGAUGAAGGCAGCUUGCUCCUGGAUUCAGCGGCGGACGGGCGAGUAAUGCCUAGGAACCUGCCUGGCCGUGGGGGAUAACGUCCGGAAACGGGCGCUACUACCGCAUACGUCCCGAGGGAGAAAGUGGGGGAUCUUCGGACCUCACGCUAUCAGAUGAGCCUAGGCCGGAUUAGCUAGUUGGUGGGGUAAAGGCCUACCAAGGCGACGAUCCGUAACUGGUCUGAGAGGAUGAUCAGUCACACUGGAACUGAGACACGGUCCAAACUCCUACGGGAGGCAGCAGUGGGGAAUAUUGGGCAAUGGGCGAAAGCCUGAUCCAGCAAUGCCGCGUGAGUGAAGAAGGUCUUCGGAUUGUAAAGCACUGUAGGUUGGGAGGAAGAGCAGUAAGUGAAUACGUUGCUGGUGUGACGUUACCAAAAGAAUAAGCACCGGCUAACUUCGUG